rnacentral:misc_RNA from 1 species
AACGCAUAUUGCACUCUCUGGUAUUCCGGGGAGUAUGCCUGUUUCAGUAUCAUAAAGUCACUCAAAAUCCUUCUUUCGAGGGGAGAUUGGAAAUGGGUUUUGCAAAUUUUUUUUUUGCUGACCUGAAAUAGAGCUGCAAGAAUCCCACCUUGGGUAAAUUCAAGGCGUCAUAGUUGGUGAAAUUGCCAUCUUUCGCCGUUGUGCCUAGGCAGGAAUUUUAGCUUGUAGUUGCAAGUCCCUAGUUCGUCUCUAUUGAGAAGGGCCAGGGAAGGCUGAACUUUUUUGGCCUUGUUUUUAAGUCUUGAUCUGAAAUUAGGUAGGAUUACCCGCUGAACUUAA